rnacentral:rRNA from 1 species
ACGAUGCUAGAGUUCAAGCGUGCUCGUCAAUCAUGGGGUACUGAGACGUAGUCGAACUGCAGCGUCGAUCCGGAGACGCGGAUGACUUCCAUGUAGCGGUGAAUGCGUAGUAUUGGACGACUCGUGGCGACGUCGGCGCCUGACUCGUAUUACGUCGAGAGCCACGUCUGCGAAGGAAUGCAUCGAUUCCCCGCAGUCACGCCGUCAACGAUGGUCCCUCGUGUCUCGCGUAUCGACACCUUUGGAGCUGAAGCUGCACGCAUUAAGUGCACCCCUGGGGAGUCACGGGAGAAACGCAAAACUCCAUAGAAUUGAUGGGGGCCCGAACAAUCGGUGGAGCAUUGCCUCCCAUUGGAAGCCACGGGCAGAACCUUACCAGUGUUUCAAGGUCUGUCUCGCUGGGACGAAAUCUUCUCUUUCCCGCUAGGGCCGGCUAGUUUUGUUCUCCAUGGACGUCGUUAGCUACUGUAGGGAGAUUUUUGGUUCACUCCCGCAAGGAGCGCCACCCCUUCUGCUAGUUGCCAAACGGUUCGCCCGGGCACUCUAGUGGGACUUCCGGGUGAUAAACCCGAGGAAGGUGGGGACGAUGUCAAGUCCUCAUGGCCUUUAUGUCCAGGCCUACACACGUGAUACAAUGGCCGGUACAAACCGCUGCAAGAGCGCAAGCUGGAGCAAAUCGGAUAAAGCCGGUCUCAGUUCGGAUUGGGGUCUGCAACUCGACCCCAUGAAGCUGGAAUCGCUAGUAAUCGCGGAUCAGCACGCCGCGGUGAAUACGUUCCCGGGCCUUGUACACACCGCCCGUCACAUCACGAAAGUCGGCUGUACCAGAAGUCGGUGUUCUAACCCGCAAGGGAGGAAGCCGCCAAGGUAUGGUCGGUAAUUGGGGCGAAGUCGUAACAAGGUAACCA